UAAAAAGAACAUAUACUGGAAUAUAUUCUGGAAGAGCUAUCCUCUUAUGACGGACGAGCAGCGCCUUCACGUAGCGGUGCUCCCAACCACCGGCUCCGGCCACAUCAAUCCCAUGCUCGAGCUCUGCCGUUGCCUCGUCCCGCUAGGAUUCCAGGUAAGCUUCGUCUAUCCCAGCAGCCUUCGACACGAUGAUCUUCACUUCCGAGUGGUGCCAAGCCCAGCCUCGGACAAGCUUUUGCUCAUGGAUCCCGCGUUGCAAGAGGACGUGAGACCGGUUCUAGAGGCCCUCCGUCCACCAAUAAAGUGCCUUAUCGCUGAUAUGUUCUUAGGCUGGUCACAGGACGUGGCCGAAAGCCUGGGGAUUCCACGAGUAGCCUUCAUUCCCAGUGACUCAGUCAUCGAAGCGACGUGCUACCAUAUUCCAGAGCUUGUCUCCAGGGGUUUCAUUACUGGCCAUGUUCCUGCCAAUGGUGAGAAGAAGAAGAAACUUUACAAUUGCUUCAUACCGAUCGACGAAUAUGUGUUGUUGUCUCAGCCGAUCCAAAUCCGGACGCUUUGAUCGACUUCAUCCCCGGUCUCGAGCCUUUUACAAGAGAGUUGCUCCCUCUUGCCUUCCAGAACUGGGGACCCAUUGUGACCACUCUGGGAGUUGCAGCCAGACGAACAAAGGAUGCGGUUUGCAUUGUCGUCAACACGAUUGAGGAGUUGGAUCAGGAAGUCGUGAAUGGACGGAGGUUGCUGUUCUCCAGUUAUUUACCAGUCGGACCUCUGGUACCUGCAGAGCUUCUGCAAGAACAGCACCCGAUCACUCUCAGUUCUCCAAAUGACACUAGCAUGAUCUGGCUGGACAAACAAGCUUACGGCUCGGUUCUCUAUAUCGCUUUUGGAAGUGUUGUUACUCUGCCAGCCGACCAAGUGGAGAAGAUUGCAAGAGCUGUAAAAGCCACUCGUCAGCCAGUAUUGUGGGCAAUCAGGAGGAACUUUGCAAAAGACGUACCUGAGAACUUUUAUGAAAGCUUGCAAGAGAUAGGUGGGGAGCAAGCCUGCCUGGUGGUGGAAUGGGCUCCACAAGUAAACGUCUUGCGCCACUCCGCGGUUGGAGCCUUCUUAAUGCAUGGUGGAUGGAACUCAGCUCUAGAAGCCCUGUGCUGUGGAGUACCAAUGCUUUGCUGGCCCUGCGCUAACGAUCAGAACUUGAAUGCUCUCACGAUAGUGAAGAAGUGGAGAACUGGGAUAAUGGUGGCUCAUGGACCCAAAGACGAUGUGAGAAGUGAAGACUUGGGAAACGUUAUAGAUGCUGUGAUGAAUGGCGAGGAAGGGAGGACGAUGAGGAGCAGAGCUAAAGAACUUAAAAAGAUUGUGAGUGUAGGUACUUGCCUGGAGAGAAAUCUUCAACAGCUCAAGGAUGUGAUCAUAGCCAAGUCUCAAUAGGGGCUUGCAAUACCAUCUGGGUUCAUUGUUAUACCAUUGCACUGUUGUCCCUUGGAGACAUAUGGGAAAUUCACGUAAAUGCUAAAUAUCAUUCUAAAAUGAUCAAUUACUUUGAAGUGAUCAAUAAUACACAUCAUCCCUAAGAUUCUCACAUAAGAACUUUAGCUAGAUUUGAUAAUUAAUAGCAAAAGCAUGAGGAGCUAUACCAUGCACUAUAAAUGCUAUGAUCAAUUGUGUUAGAUUAUUCAAUUAUAAUUACACAAUUACACUAAUUGUUACUUUAGAGUCAAAGAGGAAGAUACUAUUACUUUACUAUGAAAAUAAAUGAAAAAGAAAAAAUCAAAAGAAAAGAAAUUAAAAAAGUUAUAAAGAAAGAGAAAUAUAGACAAUGAAACAGCAAAAUCCUAAAUCCAAGCACUCCUUAGGGAUAAUUAAAGUUGCCUUUUAUCUUUGCAUGAAUGGGAAAAAUCCUAAUUUAUAUACAUAAGUGGUUCAAAUUGAAAUCAAUUUAAUAACUAUUAAAAUCCCACUACACUAAUAUUAGUAUAUGGCAUUGUAAUUGUACACUUAGAUCUCACAUUUACUAUUAAGCAAAAAUUUAUAUUAUAAUCAAUAAAUAAUUUGUUAUACUUGAGUUUGUUUAUUGCUAUUUUAUUAAUAUUAUUAAUCAAUUAUUUUUUAAUUAUAAACAUGUUUAUCAACCAUUAGAAUAAACUAGAAUAUACUAAGAAGUGUUUAGGAAAUUUUAUAAAUUAUAAAUACAAAGUUAAUCUAAAUAAUUAACAACCGUUAAAUGGUAGAAUAUCCAAGAUUAUUCAAAUAUAUUCCACUCCAAAAAUAAUUUCUUGCUAAACUAAAACGUUGAGCCAAUAUGUUUUAAUUUAAUAUGCUUAGCAAGGGAGGGCUAACUAGCUUCUUGUCAUUCAAUCCUCUUCUCUCGCAGGCAAUAUACACCCUUUGCCUUGGCAAAAGCAGCGAGUAGAGGUCUCUGACGACGGUGGCGAGACGUGGCGCAGAGCGGAGAGGAAGUUCGAGUGCUGCGCGGGGAAAUGCAACCGGAGGUAUGGAAAUCUGCGGUCGUUUAACGAGCACCGGUGUGAGAAGCACAAGCUCCCGCCCGUGUCGCAGCUGCCCAAGGGCUUCAAAUCCCGGAAGGGCGUCCCGCACGGCACGUACUACGCGCUCAAGAAGCAGCGCUACAACGAGGUCAAGGACUCGCUGCGCUUCAAGUGGAAGACCCAGCUCCAGAACGCGAGAGCGAACUUGAAAAAGGACUACAUCGGGUGUGGGAUCCCAGCGGCAACUUCUCGCGCGAGCACUGGAUCCGGAGGGUGAACAAAGCUUCUCAUACGGAAGAUGAACGCCAUGAGGGAGGAGCAUCCUUUGGUGAGUUGGAAGUUCUAGCUAGAUUUUGUUCUUCUUUGCUAGUUUCUACGUUUUGCUUUUGCGAGUUUAUAUGAGUUCCCGCAUUGUAGGAAAGGUAUCGGCCACAAGCUGGAGGCCGGCCAUCGCACCAGGCUCGGAUCGCGAGGCUCGAGGCUCUUAAGGCGGAAGUGGAGAGCUACAACGAAGAAGACGAGGAUGUGAACGAGUAUAACUCUUCCGAAGAAAACGAGCAUGAGGUAAGGUGUCGCAAAUGAUUUCUUCGUUGUGUUUCCGAAUCGUCCUCAUGAUCAACAGGAUGAGCACGAGGAUGAUCGGGGAAACUCCAUUUCAGAAGCCGAAGAUGAUGAGGUAACAAGCUAUAAUCUCUUAUAGCGCUUCGUUUUGACAUGAUCCUCUCAAGAUGGAUGGAAAUGCUUUUGCCGCUCGCGAUUCGAUCGUGGAGAUCCUCAUGAACAUCAAGGUGAGCUAUUUGACUAUUGUCUACUUAUUCAUUGUCCGCGAACCUAUUGUCAAUUCUAUAGGAUGGUAGUAGUCACCACCACAACACAGCUCAAACAAUUUCCGCAUUGAUUUAGCAGGAGAGCAGCGACACGGCAUGGUGCUUCGUGAUACCAGUCGCAAUCCUGCACAGGGCCAAGUGGUCGGGUGCGUGUAAGUUCUAGAUCUUUCUUGCCUUUGCAAUUCUUUUUUGAGCAAUGGCUUGUUGCGGGAACUUCUCCAACACUUAUGGGUGCAUUCCUGAGCAGAUUCCUGAGCCAUUGCAGGUGGAUUCGAUCCGGGAGAGCAUGAGCAGGCAGGUGCUGGGGUGGCCAAUCGUGAGCGGGGGAUGGAGCUGGUGGACAGAUCGUGGUGAGGGAUGGCGAGGGAGGAGUUGAGGAGGAAACUUGGGCGCUUGGGAACUGGGGCCAUGUCGACCAAAGGUUAAGAAUUCUUUGGUAGGAAAGAAGACGAAAGUUUAGCGGUAAAUUACAUUUUUAAUUAUAAUAUAACCUUUUCUUUAGUAAGUUAAUAUUGUUCUUGAGACAAAGGAUGCCAAGAUUCCCGGGCUGCGGGAAAUCCUUCAUGGCAUGAAGAGCAACGAGUAGAGUCUUCUCUAUUAUGUGCGAAUCUUGACGCGGGAUUCCAUGUAACCCUCCGCAGCGUCUAUUUGUUUCCAUCCACACGAAGGAGCGCUUUGCUCGCCUCAUCGCCUUUGAUGAAAGAAUUUAUAAGCUUGGGUUCAUCGACCAGUAGCAAGGCUUCUGAUCCAUGUCGUCGAUUUCAAAGUCGUUUGAAGCCAUGACCACCUCGCAAAACCUGGUAAAGCACGCUCUCGGAAUUCCAUCCUUCAAAACCAUCUGUCUUUCAGCAUCUUGUGAUCGGCACUAGAGGAGCAAAUCCCGCAGGUGCAGCGGCCAUGUCUUGCAGUUUGUGAGGAUCUCUACAAGUCUUUUCCGCCUCCAUUCCGCUCAAUUCUUUCGCAGAUUUACAGGGCGAGCAAGCUAAGAAGUCACCGUUAAGACCAACAUCCAUCUAUCCUGAUCUUUCUGCAAGAGCACUUUAAAUAGGCUUUCCUUCCUCUUUUCGCUUGUCACCUGCUGCAGCAAAGUGGCCACCAACGAAUCCAGCAGCUCCAGAAUGGCGAGCACCAACUUUUGUUUUGGCUGGAGUUGUCCAUGUGGUUGUAGUAUAGAUGAUGGGGCAAAAGAUCAGAUUGCCUGGUCAAUUCCGGUCUACUUUCUUGGCCUUGUAGUCACGUUCGAGGAGCAUUCCUUUCUAUGGUGUUCUAUUUGAGUACUUGUUCAAGUAAAUCACCACUUCGGUACUCCCCAGCCUCCUAUAUCUUAGCUGGCUUCCAAUCCAAGAUCAAAGCGCUGCAAAUGGCGGGUGCUAGCAAGAAGCCUCAUGUUCUAGCGUUCCCAUUCCCAAUCCCGGGCCACAUGAACUCACUGAUGCACUUCUGCCGCCGUCUCGCGGCCUGCGAUGUCACCAUCACCUACGCCUCCAAUCCGAGCAACAUGAAGCUCAUGCACCAGACGCGCGAUCUGAUUGCAGACCCCCACGCCAAGAGCAACGUCCGCAUCGUCGAGGUCUCGGACGAUCCAGGUAACAGCAGCAACGAUCUCGCCAAGGGGGAUCCCAGCGAGCUCGUGGAGAAGAUCCGCCUGGCAGUGCGGGCCAUGGCAGCCUCUGUGCGAGAGCUUAUCCGGAAGUUCCAGGAGGAAGGGAAUCCCGUUUGUUGCAUGAUCACAGACACCUUCAACGGAUUCACCCAGGAUCUGGCGGACGAAUUCGGCAUCCCCAGGGCGGUGUUCUGGACCUCCAAUGCGAUCGACGACAUCUAUCACCUCUUCCUGCCGGAGCUCAUGUCCAAAGGAUUCGUGCCAGUCACGAGUAAGUUCUCCCUCCCCUGUUUUUAGGGUUCUAAGGAAACUCUUCUUCUUCCAGCCAGGAAAACGGACGAGCUCAUCACAUUCCUCCCCGGAUGCCCGCCGAUGCCCGCCACGGAUCUGCCGCUCGCCUUCUACUACGACCACCCAAUCCUGGGCGUGAUCUGCGACGGCGCGUCGCGGUUCGCGGAGGCGAGAUUCGCGCUGUGCAACACCUACGAGGAGCUGGAGCCCCACGCAGUGGCGACGCUGCGCAGCGAGGUCAAAUCCAGCUACUUCCCCAUCGGCCCGUGCCUGUCCCCCGCAUUCUUCGCGGGGGACUCGACAGCGGUGGAGCGAUCCAGCGAGCUCCUGUCUCCCGAGGAUCUGGCGUGCCUGGAGUGGCUUGACACACAGAAGGAAUCCUCCGUGAUCUACGUCUCCUUCGGUAGCGUGGCCACCAUGUCCGUGGAGCAAUUCCAGGAGCUCGCCAGGGGCCUGGAGCGCAGCAACCAGCCAUUCGUACUGGUGCUGCGCAAGACCCUGGUCGCGGAUCCCUCGGUGCACGAUUUCUUCGAGGGUUUGAAGCAGCGGAUCGGCGAGCGCGGGAUGGUGAUCUCGUGGGCGCCGCAAAUGCACGUCUUGCUCCACCCGGCGGUGGGAGGAUUCCUGACGCACUGCGGAUGGAACUCGACCGUGGAGGGGAUCUGCGCGGGCGUGCCGAUGCUCGCCUGGCCUUGCAUGGCGGAGCAAAACAUCAACUGCAAGGAGCUUGUGGAGCACUGGAAGCUGGCGAUCCCGGUCCAGGAUGAUCGGGAUAAAAGCUCCGUGAUCUCGGUCUCGAGCGAGAGGCUGGCGGAUCUAGUGGCGCGGCUAAUGAGAGGCGACGAGGGUCGCGAGAUGCGAGCCCGGGCUCGGGGAUUCCGCAAGGCUACUGCGGCUGCCAUAGCCGAGGGAGGAUCCUCGGACAGGAACCUCAAGGCCUUCGCCCAAGCUCUGAGAGAUCUGUGAUCUCUCGGAGGCUAACAACCAUUAUGUAAAGUCAAUAUUUCUCGAUCAUACCAAGAUUUACGAGAACAAACUUGCGACACUGUUUGCGAUGCGGACGGCGGUUGCGUGACUGACUUGUUAUCCUAAACCUCCCGGGAUUGGGAUUAUUGAAGAGAUGUCAGCUGACUUGCUACAUAUUACAUCUACUGUGUCGCGUGCGUGAUGGAGAACUUCAAAUGUAGCAUAAAAAUAAAGAUCUUUAACAUUUCUUAGUCUUAUUCAUCCAUUUUGCAGAAGAGCUUCUUGGGGAGGAACCGAGGCUGGGUGGCGCUGUGGCGUGCACUUGAGCAGCAGCGCCUCGUCUUUGAGAUUAUAAACAUCACUUUUAUUUUUCUGUUUAUGAAAUCGUCAAUAUUCUUAGAAUAACAAAUCGAUAUUCCUGUACUUUGAUGGAGAGGACAAAAACUAAAGAGAGGUUUCCUUUCAAAGUCUGGCCAAAGCUCCACCCCGCCGGUGCGACGUUGAGCGACGUGACCAGUCGAUUGUCACUCGUCACGACGCGGAACGAGACUGCCCGAUGAGCCUGCUAUCGCUCUGCCUCGACAUGGAUGCCCACAAGACCAUAAUUCGUGGUUGCAUACUUUUCAGGCCUCAUUGCUCUUCCGGAGGACAACACCUGCUUGCAAGCUGGGAUCUUUGGCUAUGGUGGAGAGUAUUCUACUGGACAUGGCAUCGCACUUCUCACCAACACCAGUGCUAGCGUUGUCAAUAGUGUCGUUUAAAGCUUGUCCUUCUCUUUCACUGGUCUCACGGUUCCUCAGACAACCUCAAGGCAGCUCCUCGAGGUCUACUACAUCCCAGCAUCGAUCCCAAGACUGGCUUCCGGGAAAACAUUCGAGUGACCAUACCUUUCUUAUUUGACUCGUAGGGAUUCAAACUUGGCCUGCUAAUGGACAAACGUGAAAGAAAACACGAGGAAAAGACACAGGCCGCCGUGUCCAAAGUUUCUCACUGACAAGUAGCGAUUAAUUCAGAAAUCAAAUUUAAUACAACCUCUGCAAAUGUCCGAAAGAUUACCAGCCGUGUGUCCCAAACGUUCGGACCAAAUCAAACGUGGCGUGCGACGCAGACAGCGGCUGAACUGUUCCCUUGCGUUGACCAUGUCGCUAUUGGCCAAUACAAUCAUUACAAGAAUCUCCUCUUCCACUCUCAAAAGAUCGAUCGCUUCUGAUCAAGAGCAACAACACCAUGGCCUACACUUACACCCCACAAGGCCAUCCAAUGCAACAGCAUCAAGGACAGCAGCAAGGAUUCACCAGCGAAGGCCAUUCUGUUGCCUCUCCUGCUGCCCACGGAGUGGCAACUAUGGCACCCCCGAAUUCUGGCCUCUGGACAACAGGCCUCUAUGGAUGCACUGAGGACUGCCCCUCUUGUAAGGCUUUUUUUUUUUGAGAAAAAAAAGUUGUGCAACUUGGAUGAUUGACUGAGUGACCUCUUUAAAUUUGCUCUCUGUUCUUUGAUCCUAGGUCUGGUUUGUAGCAAACUUGCAGAUAGAUAAGAUGUCCGUGCGACAAUACUUAAAAUGUUUUCUGAUCAAUUCUCUCCAUCUGGUGUAACCACAGGCUGGUGUGCGUUGUGCUGCCCCUGCGUUCUUGUUGGGCGCAUGGCCAACAUUCUGGAUCAAGGCAUGACCUGUGAGUAUUCAACUUUGAGAUAAACGAUAUCCCGAACGUUUUUUUUUUUUUGAUGUUCCACUCACGAUUCUGCUUGGAUUUGUGAUCCAAUGUUGUAGCUGUCUUCACCGGAGCCGCCAUCUUUUGCGGCUGUGGCUGCCUCUACAGCUGCCUGUACCGUGCAAAGCUGCGCCACAAGUAUGGACUCCCCGAGGAGCCCUGCAACGACAUCUGCACCGAGUGCUGGUGCAACUGCUGCUCCAUUGCCCAGGCUUACAGGGAGCUCAGGAACCGCAACAUCAACCCGGCUCUGGGUAUGAUUUCUGGGGCCUUGGUGAUCUUUGUUUCCUGAUUUCUGAAAAUGGUGAUUUUUCAGGGUACGAGUUUGCGAGGGCGGUGUACGAGCAGCCACCUCAAGUGCAGGAGAUGCGCAAAAUUUGAGCUACGGAAAUUAGUUUUUAAAAUCUUCAACUUGAAAAUGCUUCUUCGGGGUUUUCAAGAACGCCAUGUUGCAUUCGUGAUCGGAAGGAUUUCUUCCUCGUGACAUUGGAAAAUAAUAGAAUAAAUUUCUAAACAUCUCAUCUAGAAUUAUUUAAUGUCCUAAAAAGAACAUAUACUGGAAUAUAUUCUGGAAGAGCUUGUCGUCAACACGAUUGAGGAGCUGGAUCAGGAAGUCGUGAAUGGACGGAGGUUGCUGUUCUCCAGUUAUUUACCAGUCGGACCUCUGGUACCUGCGGAGCUUCUGCAAGAACAGCACCCGAUCACUCUCAGUUCUCCAAAUGACACUAGCAUGAUCUGGCUGGACAAACAAGCUUACGGCUCGGUUCUGUAUAUCGCUUUUGGAAGUGUUGUUACUCUGCCAGCCGACCAAGUGGAGAAAAUUGCAAGAGCUGUAAAAGCUACCCGUCAGCCAGUCUUGUGGGCGAUCAGGAGGAACUUUGCAAAAGACGUACCUGAGAACUUUUAUGAAAGCUUGCAAGAGAUAGUUAAAAGUUUAUGGUGGUGGAACCUUGCCACCACCAUAAACUGGUGGUGGAAUGGGCUCCGCAAGUAAACGUCUUGCGCCACUCCGCGGUUGGAGCCUUCUUAAUGCACGGUGGAUGGAACUCAGCUCUAGAAGCCCUGUGCUGUGGAGUGCCAAUGCUUUGCUGGCCCUGCGCUAGCGAUCAGAACUUGAAUGCUCUCACGAUAGUGAAGAAGUGGAGAACUGGGAUAAUGGUGGCUCGGCGCCGGCGCUACGCCCGCUAGGGUGUGGUGAUCGAUGGCAGCGGAGGGCGCUUGCGGUGCCAUCGGCGGCGAGAGCGCGCCAUGCCAAUGCGCUGGUUGCGCGAUCCGAGUAAGAUUCGCUCUAGAGAUCCGCUCGCGAGAAUGUGGCUGGGGAUUUGGCUUCCAGCGAAAAGAUUUGCAAUUUUCAACAUCAAACAUAGCUCCGAUGACCGGUAACAGCAUGCGCAGCAGCAACGAUCUCGCCAAGGGGGAUCCCGGCGAGCUCGUGGAGAAGAUCCGCCUGGCAGCGUGGGCCAUGGCAGUCUCUGUGCGAGAGAUUAUCCGGAAGCUCCAGGAGGAAGGGAACCCCGUUUGCUGCAUGAUCACGGACACCUUCAACGGAUUCACCCAGGAUCUGGCGGACGAAUUCGGUAUCCCCAGGGCGGUGUUCUGGACCUCCAACGCGAUCAACGACAUUUAUCACCUCUUCCUGCCGGAGCUCAUCUCCAAAGGAUUCGUGCCAGUCGCGAAUAAGUUCUCCCUCCCCUGUUUUUGGGGUUCUAAGGAAACUCCCCCUUCUUCGAGCCAGGAAAACGGACGAGCUCAUCACAUUCCUGCCUGGCUGCCCGCCAAUGCCCGCCACAGAUCUGCCUCUAUCCUUCUACUACGAUCACCCAAUCCUGGGCAUGGUCUGCGACGGCGCGUCGCGGUUCGCGGAGGCGAUAUUCGCUCUGUGCAACACCUACGAGGAGCUGGAGCCACACGCAGUGGCGACGCUGCGCAGCGAGAUGAAAUCCACCUACUUCCCCAUCGGCCCGUGCCUCUCCCCGGCAUUCUUCGCGGGGGACUCGACAGCGGUGGAGCGAUCCAGCGAGCUCCUGUCUCCCGAGGAUCUGGCGUGCCUGGAGUGGCUCGACACACAGAAGGAAUCCUCCGUGAUCUACGUCUCCUUCGGCAGCGUGGCCACCAUGUCCGUGGAGCAAUUCCAGGAGCUCGCCAGGGGCCUGGAGCGCAGCAACCAGCCAUUCGUGCUGGUGCUGCGCAAGACCCUCGUCGCGGAUCCCUCGGUGCACGAUUUCUUCGAGGGAUUGAAGCAGCGGAUCGGCGAGCGCGGGAUCGUGAUCUCGUUGGCGCCGCACGUCUUGCUCCACCCGGCGGUGGGAGGAUUCCUGACGCACUGCGGAUGGAACACGACCGUGGAGGGGAUCUGCGAGGCCGUGCCGAUGCUCGCCUGGCCUUGCAUGGCGGAGCAAAACGUGAACUGCAAGGAGCUUGUGGAGCACUGGAAGCUGGCGAUCCCGGUCCAGGAUGAUCGGGAUAAAAGCUCCGUGAUCUCGGUCUCGAGCGAGAGGCUGGCGGAUCUAGUGGCGAGGCUGAUGAGAGGCGACGAGGGUCGCGAGAUGCGAGCCCGGGCUCGGGGAUUCCGCAAGGCUACUGCGGCUGCCAUAGCCGAGGGAGGAUCCUCGGACAGGAACCUCAAGGCCUUCGCCCAAGCUCUGAGAGAUCUGUGAUCUCUUGGACGCGACAAUUAGAAUCAAUCAAUGGGUUAGUGAGAUUGAAAGUUUUAAUAAGCCAAUUUGUGCUGCCUCUAUGCGGUCUUUCACUCCCUCUUUUCCAUGUGUUUUUUAGAUGGAGAGCAUAACUUAAGUACUUGGACAUGUUUUUGGAACAGAUUCUUGGGGUUGGGUUUCCAAAAACCAUGUUGCCAAUGCACAAAACUGUGCCGGAGUGUCGAACUGUGGUCGCACGGUGGCUGGCAAUAACAAAUAGAAGAAGAAAGAGAUACAUUCCCAAGAGCUUGUAUAAAAAUAGGUCCUCCCCUUGUAUCAUGGUUUCCAGUGCCCCAGUAUAGCAUUGUUGCACUCCAAUCUUUGAGGCUCCAAAGAUUUAUAGUUUGACCGAGCAGUAUAGCUUGACAAUCACUGCCACCAGGGGGGAGGCGCUUCUAGCUGUAAGAGUUGCUUGAUCAACAGUUGGAAAGGGAUCAUAUCAAAUGUUCCACAAAUCCAGUUAGCAAUGUCUUGUUUCGUCCCAACCUUGUGCGUUCCAGAGGAUGCACAAAGUGACAAGGUGGUCUAGGGAUCGCUGUUUUCGAAAGCUGGUGCGUUUGGAAAAAUAAAUAAAAUUAUUCUCCAACAAGGAUCAAGAAAUCUUGUAUGCUUUGACCUUGUGCCACCCAAGCAGGGGCGAACUAUCGAACUCAUUGAGACUGAUCCAACAGCUCGACUUGGAAAUCGCAGAAGUGUCAUCCAGUCAGGCCUUGAGCAUUGAUCUUGCCCGCAUCCACAACCUGCAGAAGCCUUGGGCAAGAGAGCCAAGCGGGAAAAGACAUGUUGUUGCUGUUAAACUCACUCUCAGACACUCACAAAACUCUUGGGGCCAUUGGAUUUCCCAGCUGGCCACAAGAACCACAAGAAACCCCAUGGCAAGGGCGUCGGGAACAUGUUGUAGCCCCAUAUGCCUCACAAGGGGAUUCCCCACAUGCCAAGGACAGUAAUAAACUCAAGAAAUAAAGAUCACUAUUGCUAUUGGUUUGUCCAGUAUCUUCAUGAAGAUACUUAUUGAAAAGGAAGUCUCCACCGAAAACAUGAUAGACAAGGAUGACUCUAUGACAGUCGACUGGGCUCAUGUCAUAGAGAGUGUAUAUCUCAACACAACAUACACACUUGCUUUUUUCACAAAACAGCUCUUAGGAACUUAGUAUCUUAAGAACUGCCUCAACUCCUCUGGAUGCCCACAAAACCCUCAAGUGUCAUUGCUCUUGCGGGGGACAACACCUGCUUGCAAGCUGGGAUCUUUGGCUAUGGUGGAGAGUAUUCUACUGGAUCUGGCAUCGCACUUCUCACCCCAAGACUGCCUUCCGGGAAAACAUUCGAGUGACAAUACCUUUCUUGUUUGGAUUCAAACUUGGCCUGCUAAUCGACAAACGUGAAAGAAAACACAAGGAAAAGACACAGGCCGCCGUGUCCAAAGUUUCUCACUGAUAAGUAGCAAUUGAUUCAGAAACAUUUAUGAAAAUUACCACGUUAUGAAUAGUGUUUUAACCUAUGCAAAUGCCCAUACCAGCCGCGUCCAAAACGUUCGGAACAAAUCAAACGCGGCGUGCGACGCGGACAGCGGCCUUGCGUUGACCAUGUCGCUAUUGGCCAAUACAACCCUUACAAAUAUCUCCUCUUCCACUCUCAAAAGAUCGAUCGCUUCUGAUCAAGAGCAAGACCACCAUGGCCUACACUUACACCCCGCAAGGCCAUCCAACGCAGCAGUAUCAAGGACAGCAGCAAGGAUUCACCAGCGAAGGCCAUCCCGUUGCCCCUCCUGCUGCUUAUCCCCAGCCUCCGCCUGGUAAUUAUUAUGGACCUGGAGUGGCAACCAUGGCACCCCCGAAUUCUGGCCUCUGGACAACGGGCCUCUGUGGAUGCACUGAGGACUGCCCCUCUUGUAAGUUUUUUUUUUUUUCGUGAAAAAGAGUUCUUUUUGUGCAACUUGCAUGAUUGACUGAGUGAUCUCUUUAAAUCUGCUUUCUGUUCUUUGAUCCUAGAUCUGGUUUGUAGCAGACUUCCAGAUAGAUAAGAUAUCCGUUCGACAUUUCUUAAAAUUUAUUUGAUCAAUCCUCUCCAUCUGGUGUAACCACAGGCUGGUGUGCGUUGUGCUGCCCCUGCGUUCUUGUUGGGCGCAUGGCCAACAUUCUGGAUCAAGGCAUGACCUGUGAGUAUUCAACUUUGAGAUAAACUAUAUCCCAAACGUUUUUUUUUUUUUUUGAUGUUCCACUCACGAUUCUGCUUGGAUUUGUGAUCCAAUGUUGUAGCUGUCUUCACCGGAGCCGCCAUCUUUUGCAUCGUGCAGUGGUUCACCGGCUGUGGCUGCCUCUACAGCUGCCUGUACCGUGCAAAGCUGCGCCACAAGUACGGACUCCCCGAGGAGCCCUGCAACGACAUCUGCACCGACUGCUGGUGCAACUGCUGCUCCAUUGCCCAGGCUUACAGGGAGCUCAGGAACCGCAACAUCAACCCGGCUCUGGGUAUGAUUUCUGGGGCCUUGGUGAUCUUUGUUUCCUGAUUUCUGAAAAUGGAGAUUUUUCAGGGUACGAGUUUGCGAGGGCGGUGUACGAGCAGCCACCUCAAGUGCAGGAGAUGCGCAAAAUGUGAGCUACGGAAAUUAGUUCUUAAAAUCUUCAACCUGAAAAUGCUUCUUCGGGGCUUUUCAAGAAUGCCAUGUUGCAUACGUUACCUCCGGAUUUCUUCCUUGUGCCAUUGGAAAAUAAUACAAGCCCAAGUUUGUGAAAAUUUCUAAACAUCUCAUCUAGAAUUAUUUAAUGUCCUGGGGCGUUUCAAGAAUGCCAUGUUGCAUACGUUACCUCCGGAUUUCUUCCUCGUGACAUUGGAAAAUAAUACAAGCCCAAGUUCGUAGAAAUUUCUGAAGAUCUCAUCUAGUAUUAUUUAAUGUCCUAAAACAAUGUAAAUAUGAGCUAUCCUCUUAUGGCGGACGAGCAGCGCCUUCACGUAGCGGUGCUCCCAACCACCGGCUCCGGCCACAUCAAUCCCAUGCUCGAGCUCUGCCGCCGCCUCGUCCCGCUAGGAUUCCAGGUAAGCUUCGUCUAUCCCAGCAAUCUAUGCCCCAAGCUGGAGUCGAGCCUUCGACACGAUGAUCUUCACUUCCAAGUGGUGCCAAGCCCAGCCUCGGACAAGCCUUUGCUCAUGGAUCCCGCGUUGCAAGAGGACGUGAGACCGGUUCUAGAGGCCCUCCGUCCACCAGUGAAGUGCCUUAUCGCUGAUAUGUUUUUAGGCUGGUCACAGGACGUGGCCGACAGCCUGGGGAUUCCACGAGUUGCCUUCAUUCCCAGUGACUCAGUCAUCGAAGCGAUGUGCUACCAUAUUCCAGAGCUUGUCUCCAGGGGUUUCAUUCCUGGCCAUGUUCCUGCCAAUGGUGAGAAGAAGAAGAAACUUUACAAUUGCUUCAUACCGAUCGACGAAUAUGUGUUGUUGUCUCAGCCGAUCCAAAUCCGGACGCUUUGAUCGACUUCAUCCCUGGUCUCGAGCCUUUUACAAGAGAGUUGCUCCCUCUUGCCUUCCAGCACGGGGGACCCAUUGUGACCACUGUGGGAGUUGCAGCCAGACGAACAAAGGAUGCGGUUUGCAUUGUCGUCAACACGAUUGAGGAGUUGGAUCAGGAAGUUGUGAAUGGACGGAGGUUGCUAUUCUCCAGUUAUUUACCAGUCGGACCUCUGGUACCUGCGGAGCUUCUGCAAGAACAGCACCCGAUCACUCUCAGUUCUCCAAAUGACACUAGCAUGAUCUGGCUAGACAAACAAGCUUACCGCUCGGUUCUCUAUAUCGCUUUUGGCAGUGUUGUUACUCUGCCAGCCGACCAAGUGGAGAAGAUUGCAAGAGCUGUAAAAGCCACUCGUCAGCCAGUCUUGUGGGCGAUCAGGAGGAACUUUGCAAAAGACGUACCUGAGAACUUUUAUGAAAGCUUGCAAGAGAUAGUUGGGGCGCAAGCCUGCCUGGUGGUGGAAUGGGCUCCACAAGUAAACGUCUUGCGCCACUCCGCGGUUGGAGCCUUCUUAAUGCACGGUGGAUGGAACUCAGCUCUAGAAGCCCUGUGCUGUGGAGUACCAAUGCUUUGCUGGCCCUGCGGUAACGAUCAGAACUUGAAUGCUCUCACGAUAGUGAAGAAGUGGAGAAUUGGGAUAAUGGUGGCUCAUGGACCCAAAGACGAUGUGAGAAGCGAAGACUUGGGAAACGUUAUAGAUGCUGUGAUGAACGGCGAGGAAGGGAGGAGGAUGAGGAGCAGAGCUCAAGAACUUAAAAAGAUCGUGAGGGCAGGUACUUGCCUGGAGAGAAAUCUUCGACAGCUCAAGGAUGUGAUCAUAGCCGCGUCUCAAUAGGGGCCUGCAAUACCAUCUGGAUUCAUACUUGAU
rnacentral:lncRNA from 1 species